GCCCGCUCCAGCGCCGAUUUGUUUCCUGAUUGCGGGCGCUUUAACAAAUGCCGCUAAAGAGGACACCGAGACCCGGUG
rnacentral:ncRNA from 2 species